rnacentral:rRNA from 1 species
GGUGAACGCUGGCGGCGUGCCUAAUACAUGCAAGUCGAGCGAAUGGUUUAAGAGCUUGCUCUUAUGAAGUUAGCGGCGGACGGGUGAGUAACACGUGGGUAACCUGCCCAUAAGACUGGGAUAACUCCGGGAAACCGGGGCUAAUACCGGAUAACAUUUUGAACCGCAUGGUUCGAAAUUGAAAGGCGGCUUCGGCUGUCACUUAUGGAUGGACCCGCGUCGCAUUAGCUAGUUGGUGAGGUAACGGCUCACCAAGGCAACGAUGCGUAGCCGACCUGAGAGGGUGAUCGGCAACACUGGGACUGAGACACGGCCCAGACUCCUACGGGAGGCAGCAGUAGGGAAUCUUCCGCAAUGGACGAAAGUCUGACGGAGCAACGCCGCGUGAGUGAUGAAGGCUUUCGGGUCGUAAAACUCUGUUGUUAGGGAAGAACAAGUGCUAGUUGAAUAAGCUGGCACCUUGACGGUACCUGACCAGAAAGCCACGGCUAACUACGUGCCAGCCGCCGCAGUAA